AAUGGACACCCACCCUUUUUAAAACAUUUCUCCGAAAACUAAAACAGGGGUUAAUGCUUGUUCGCCUUUUUGUUUGGUUAACAAGUUUGGCUCUUCUGUUAUAUUA